AUUAGGGUCACACAAUCAAUUACCUCCUGAAUGUAUUAUCUCUAUUUCUAAUAUCUGAAUACACAAGAAAACUACAAUCUCCUCCUUCACCUUAUCGGUCUCUUCCUUACAACAAUUCAGUCAUACCAAUAACUGCUAUUUCUACUAAUAUAUUCACCCUCAUAAUCUCCAACUGUAAUACUGCACCCUUAUAGCUUUCAGCACACAAUUACCCUCGUUCCAAUCACUGGAAUUCUUCACACAGAACUGCCAUUCACAUUACAAUAUUUCACACAAACACAGACUCAUUCUUUUUGCUAAACUACAAUCAGAUUUGAGCAUUCAAUCUUUCUUCUUCUCAAAUAAUACCAAUCACCUUUCCAUUCCAUAAUUCACUUCACAAUAUUCAGAAACUCUCAAUCCUCUUAUUCAAAGAAAAUAACAAACAAAAGAAAAGAGGUAGCACCAAGCUUACUCCGGCUCACAACUCUCACAAUCUGGCCCCUAGCUCAGUAUUAUCACAGUCUGGCCUUUUCUUCCCUUCUCCCAUCCUCCUUAUACUACCCCGAGAUAUCAACUCCUAUACUACAUAUGAUAACUACUUUUCUUGACUAUUCAUCCAUUCUACCUGCUGAACGACCUUUUCAGCAGUUAUCUAUCCUUGUUUAUACUAUACACUAGGUAUCUACAUUCUGAAAAUAACU
rnacentral:lncRNA from 1 species